rnacentral:rRNA from 1 species
UACAGAGGUCUCAAGCGUUGUUCGGAUUCAUUGGGCGUAAAGGGUGCGAUAGGCGGCGCGGUAAGUCGGGUGUGAAAGUCUUGGAGCUUAACUCCGAAACUGCAAUUCGAUACUGCCGUGCUUGAGGACUGGAGAGGAGACUGGAAUUUACGGUGUAGCAUGUGGAAUGCGUAGAUAUCGUAAGGAAGACCAGUGGCGAAGGCGGGUCGCUGGACAGGUUCCUGACACUGAGGCACGAAGGCCAGGGAGCAAACGGGAUUAGAGU